CGUGUCUCCGCAUCUUGUAAGGCCUUGCUAGCGUAGUAGACAGGCCGUUCAACAUUACCAUCAUUUUGAAUGAGAACGGAACUUACUACUGAAGCCAAUACCGACAUAUAGAUAAUAAGAGUGUCACCAACCUCAGGUUUGGAGAGCAUAGGGGCUUUACUCAUGUAGUCUUUGAGGUUCUUGAAUGCCUCAACACAUUCAUCAGUCCAUGUAAUGUACUUCUUA
rnacentral:lncRNA from 1 species